AGUGAGCGCUGGCGGUAGGCCUAACACAUGCAAGUCGAACGGCAGCACAGGAGAGCUUGCUCCCUGGGUGGCGAGUGGCGGACGGGUGAGGAAUACAUCGGAAUCUACUCUGUCGUGGGGGAUAACGUAGGGAAACUUACGCUAAUACCGCAUACGACCUACGGGUGAAAGCAGGGGACCUUCGGGCCUUGCGCGAUGGAAUGAGCCGAUGUCGGAUUAGCUAGUUGGCGGGGUAAAGGCCCACCGAGGCGACGAUCCGUAGCUGGUCUGAGAGGAUGAUCAGCCACACUGGAACUGAGACACGGUCCAGACUCCUACGGGAGGCAGCAGUGGGGAAUAUUGGACAAUGGGCGCAAGCCUGAUCCAGCCAUACCGCGUGGGUGAAGAAGGCCUUCGGGUUGUAAAGCCCUUUUGUUGGGAAAGAAAUCCAGCUGGCUAAUACCCGGUUGGGAUGACGGUACCCAAAGAAUAAGCACCGGCUAACUUCGUGCCAGCCGCCGCAGUAA
rnacentral:rRNA from 1 species